rnacentral:rRNA from 1 species
GAUGAACGCUGGCGGCGUGCCUAAUACAUGCAAGUCGAGCGAACAGACGAGGAGCUUGCUCCUCUGACGUUAGCGGCGGACGGGUGAGUAACACGUGGAUAACCUACCUAUAAGACUGGGAUAACUUCGUGAAACCGGAGCUAAUACCGGAUAAUAUAUUGAACCGCAUGGUUCAAUAGUGAAAGACGGUUUUGCUGUCACUUAUAGAUGGAUCCGCGCCGCAUUAGCUAGUUGGUAAGGUAACGGCUUACCAAGGCAACGAUGCGUAGCCGACCUGAGAGGGUGAUCGGCCACACUGGAACUGAGACACGGUCCAGACUCCUACGGGAGGCAGCAGUAGGGAAUCUUGCGCAAUGGGCGAAAGCCUGACGGAGCAACGCCGCGUGAGUGAUGAAGGUCUUCGGAUCGUAAAACUCUGUUAUUAGGGAAGAACAAAUGUGUAAGUAACUAUGCACGUCUUGACGGUACCUAAUCAGAAAGCCACGGCUAACUACGUG